GAAUGCUGACAUAAGUAACGAUAAAGCGGGUGAAAAGCCCGCUCGCCGGAAGACCAAGGGUUCCUGUCCAACGUUAAUCGGGGCAGGGUGAGUCGACCCCUAAGGCGAGGCCGAAAGGCGUAGUCGAUGGGAAACGGGUUAAUAUUCCCGUACUUGGUGUUACUGCGAAGGGGGGACGGAGAAGGCUAUGUUGGCCGGGCGACGGUUGUCCCGGUUUAAGCGUGUAGGUGUGUGUUCCAGGUAAAUCCGGUUCACUUUAACACUGAGGCGUGACGACGAGGCACUACGGUGCUGAAGCAACAAAUGCCCUGCUUCCAGGAAAAGCCUCUAAGCAUCAGGUAACAUCAAAUCGUACCCCAAACCGACACAGGUGGUCAGGUAGAGAAUACCAAGGCGCUUGAGAGAACUCGGGUGAAGGAACUAGGCAAAAUGGUGCCGUAACUUCGGGAGAAGGCACGCUGACACGUAGGUGAAGUGAUUUACUCAUGGAGCUGAAGUCAGUCGAAGAUACCAGCUGGCUGCAACUGUUUAUUAAAAACACAGCACUGUGCAAACACGAAAGUGGACGUAUACGGUGUGACGCCUGCCCGGUGCCGGAAGGUUAAUUGAUGGGGUCAGCGCAAGCGAAGCUCCUGAUCGAAGCCCCGGUAAACGGCGGCCGUAACUAUAACGGUCCUAAGGUAGCGAAAUUCCUUGUCGGGUAAGUUCCGACCUGCACGAAUGGCGUAAUGAUGGCCAGGCUGUCUCCACCCGAGACUCAGUGAAAUUGAACUCGCUGUGAAGAUGCAGUGUACCCGCGGCAAGACGGAAAGACCCCGUGAACCUUUACUAUAGCUUGACACUGAACAUUGAGCCUUGAUGUGUAGGAUAGGUGGGAGGCUUUGAAGCGUGGAC
rnacentral:rRNA from 2 species